GGUUAACCCGUUGCCUAGGCGCUCGGUACAAGCUACUGCGAGCAGCUGCAACAAAACACUUGGUAGGCCUCAGGAGAUAAGAUACUCUACUGUUGCAUCAAUAUUUGUAAACAGACAGACAUCAUUAACGAUUCCAAACCGAUUUUGAAGGACAACGACAAUCGUAAUUUGUUUUAUUUUUAACAGGCGUCUGGAGGAUGUGAAUAGAAGCUCGUGCGUAGUACCUGCGAACUAACGUUAGCCCGCUAGCCAAAGUUAGCGGACUGGACUGUGCUAGGGUUAGGAAACUUUUUAUAUUGCAGUAAAAAAGCCUGUUGAGCCCGUAGCAACAACAUUCUUGUCAAAUACACCCGUGAGUGCAGAUAAAUUAUGAAUAUGUGAGAGAAACAUUUAAUAACGGAUGAUAAUGGAUUUUGGAUUAUGCAGAAGAUCACGUGUAACGUAAACGUAGUCACUUUUUUACAGUUGCAGUGUUGUUUGUAUAUAAAUGUUGUUGCUUUGUGCAACUGAAAGGCAUGCAGACUUCAGGAACACGUUGAGUUAUGUUUUUUCCUUUUCUUUUGUACAAUAAAGUGAUGAUUAGUCCAGAGACUGACAUGGGCGGAGGCAAAUGCUGGAAACCACAAUCUAAACUUUGUUCCCAUAAAAACGCUCGGCUAAUUUGCAUGUGAUGCACGGACUCCAGUUGAGCUGUACUCGGCCAUGGAAAAAAGAGAGGAAAAGGAGCUGGACGAGCUCACCCUCCGCUUGCAGAGGGACGGUGUGUCUCCUGAGGCUCCAGCAGAGGAGCGUGAGCUGCACCUGUGGCGUUUGCUCCAGCGUAGCGAGGGCAGCCUGACCGCAGUCACCGAAGACCUGCAGACUUUACGCACACAGCAGGCCAGCGAGAUGAGAGAGGUGGAAAAUUACGUGGAGCAUAUUCGAAACAUGUUGGAGGAGCGGGAAUCUCUUACAGCGGCGUGACAGCGAACAGCUCCGUGCUGAGCUCGCCCUAAUGAAACACCAACAGGGUGAGUUUGAACUCGUAUUGGUUUUAACAUAAAUAAAAUAGAUUGUGGUCUGAGUUUGGUCAGUGAGUAGUUUGGUUGCAUGCUGCUCAUAUUAUUUGUGUACUAAAUAUAAGUAUGCAUACAGUAUUCUGCAGUGUACACAGUAUGUAAAUGUUCUGUAUGCAGAGAACUCAUAUAUCAGCUACUACAUUGUCAAAUGUACAGUAUAUUAUAGAGCGUGCUCUGUAGAGUACUGUAUCCCACAAUGCAAUGUGUUUGGCUGGACCUGGAAGAAAUAUCAGCCACAAUUUUCUUCUCUCAUUUGAUCUGACAUCCAAGUGUUAAGAUGUUUUUACCUGUAUUCUUUUAAUAUUAUUUACAGAAUAAUAGUAGUAUUUAUAUUGUUUAUUAAUAUAUUAAAGUUAUUUAUUAAUAUUUUGAAUUUGCUUUUAUUUUUAUAUUUUCAUUUUAACUUUAGUUUGUUUAAAUAAUUUUAAGUUCUCUUGUCAUUUUUAUUAAUUUCUUCCCAUUUGUAUUUUCUUUUUAGUUUUUUUUAAAUUGAUUUUUAUUUCAGUUUUAGUUUUUUGUAGUAUUUCAACUUCAACAAUUCCUGUUCACACCAAGAACAAUAACUAUAAAAAUAACUAUAACAAUAACUACAGCAUAUUAGUGAAUACAGCAACAGACAUUAAUGUUCUGAUUAUUUAACACACUGCAGUAAAGUUGUCUGUUGCUUUAAAUGCCUACGCUUUUAAAUAUCGGGGGAUUCCGAUUGGUUGUGAAUUUUUUUGUUAUUCAUUAGCUGAAAAAAAAAAAUCAUUGUUAAUUUGUUUCAGUAUAAUUAUAGUUAUGGUAUGCACUUUCCUGUUAUUGUGAUAGUUAUCAACUUUGGUUUGAACAGGCCUUUAAACUUAAUUUAUUUCAGUUAUUAGCAGUAUUUCUCAUUUUCAUUUUCAUUUUAAUUUAAUUUUUUUUUUUUUAGUUUUUCUAUUCUUAUUUUCUUAAUUUUAAUUUUUUAAUUUUUUUUUUUAGUUUUCUAUUGUAUUAUUUAGUUUGUUUGUUUGUUUUUUUUUUUUUACUUUUUCUAAAUGUAAUUGCAUUUAUUCUUAUUAUUAUUAUUAUACUUAGAAUUAGACAAAAAAAAAGCAAAAUAAUUAUAUUUCUGAGGUGAUAAAAAAUAGUUUGUGGUAUUUAGUGCAUACUGCACUGUAUGCAAUAUGUAGUACACUAGUAUUACGUUAAGAGCACAGUCCUAGCAUUCUGCACAGUGUCCUCAUAGUCCAGUAAGUGGUCUUUAGUCAUGUUUGUAUGUGUCAGACUCCCAGUGUAAAGAGGUGGUGGAGAUGCUGGAGCAGGAGGGUCUAGCAGAGAUCAGUCAGAGCAGUGCCAGUGAGCAGGUGGCCUAUCUGCUGGUGGAGAGAGUCACUCUGCUUGAGAGACUGGAGGCUGCGGAAAGAAAACUGGACACCCAGACCCUAACUGGCAACCUCAGAGAGGUGCAUUUGCAGGUACUAUACGAAAUACAACUUCAUAUCAGUUUUCAUAAAAGUGUGGCUCAUUAGUUUUGUGGUCAUUUUAAUAUCUCCUCUCUUAUGGAAAUCAGGAAGAGCUGGAUCAUAUGCGUCACACGUUGGAAGAUGAACUCAGGCAGACAUGAAGAAGGUGAGAAGAUCUCAUUGUCACGUAAGAAGGAAGCAGCUUCAGAAGCAGCAUGUUGAAGUCAUAUCCCAUUCAUCUAUAUUUAAGUGUUUCGUUGUCCAUCUCUUGAUAUGUUCUGCAUCAUAAUUUCUCCUGAUUCUUUGUUCCUCCCUUAAAUGGACAGGAAUCAUCAGUUCAAAGUCCUUGGAGGAAGUUCUUUGGUGUGCGCAAGGCUACAUUAAGAGCACAGAACCUUCCUGUAGGUUUCCAUACAUGUCAUAACAAAGGCAUGACAGAAAUGUAAAUCAAGAGAGGUGGAACCUUCCAUAUUGUCCUAGACAGGAUGAUCCACUUAAGCAGAUUAGGGCAGCUCCUCGUGAAAUCAUGCAUGCCUUGGUUGAACACAAAGCAGGGAAUAACGAUAUCUUCUCAUAUGCUGAGCUUAGCAUGAUCACAUUAACUUCUCUUAUUUUCACUAUGGACCCUAACAGCACUAUAGACCCCUUUCAUUCAGGGUGGUUACUAACCAGAGGCUGCUUGUCCCCUUGAUACAGUUAUUUCUGAUGGUUAUAAGGGAGCAGGUGCAUAUUAAACUCUGUUCACACUGGAACACGAUCCACAUUCAGCUUCACUUGUGUUCUGUGGCUUAUGCAUGUUAAAAACGCAUAGAUGCUGACAUGCUCCUUGCUCGUCCAGCCAGUGAAACCAGGUUCAUGUCUCACUGAAAGCUCUUUCCCCUGUAGGGCCACAGUGAAGAACUCAAUAGAGAACGCAUAGAGCGCCAGAGGCUGGAGAGGGAUCUGGAAGAGGCAUCGAGUCGUCUUGCUAUGGCACAUAAAGAGAUUCGUCACCUGACGGAUGAACUAGAUCUCGCUCGUAAGGUCCAAAACUCGUGUGGUAAGUAAAUAACCAAUUAUUAGUGGUGCUGUGGUAGUAAAAUUCUGGCUGAUGUCAGUAAGCUGAUUAUAAUUAUUUUCAUGUUAUGGCAGAUAACUGAUAAAUGACUGAGAAUAAAAUUCUGUGGUAUACUUCUAUACUAUUGUAGCCUACAUAUAGUGCCAUUCAAAAGUUUGGGGUUUUGGGUACAAAUUGUUUUUUUUUCUUUUUUGAAGUCUCUUAAGGAAGCAUUUUUAAAAAUCUAAAAUAUAGAUAAAAUAGUAAUAUUGUGAAAUAUUAUUACAAUUUGUAAUAAUAAAAUAAAAUGUAAUUUAUUCCUGUGAUUGCAAAGCUGAAUUUUCAGAAGUCCAUUGCUCCAGUCUUCAGUGUCACAUGAU
rnacentral:lncRNA from 1 species